UGCGUAGGGGGCUAGCGUUGUCCGGAUUUAUUGGGCGUAAAGAGCGUGUAGGCGGCCAGGUAGGUCCGUUGUGAAAACUCGAGGCUCAACCUCGAGACGCCGAUGGAAACCAUCUGACUAGAGUCCGGAAGAGGAGAGUGGAAUUCCUGGUGUAGCGGUGAAAUGCGCAGAUAUCAGGAAGAACACCCGUGGCUAAGGCGGCUCUCUAGUACGGUACUGACGCUGAGACGCGAAAGCAUGGGGAGCGAACAGG
rnacentral:rRNA from 1 species